CCUACGGGUGGCAGCAGUGAGGAAUAUUGGUCAAUGGACGCAAGUCUGAACCAGCCAUGCCGCGUGCAGGAAGACGGCUCUAUGAGUUGUAAACUGCUUUUGUACGAGGGUAAACGCAGAUACGCGUACCUGUCUGAAAGUAUCGUACGAAUAAGGAUCGGCUAACUCCGUGCCAGCAGCCGCGGUAAUACGGAGGAUUCAAGCGUUAUCCGGAUUUAUUGGGUUUAAGGGGUGCGUAGGCGGACGGAUAAGUUAGAGGUGAAAUCCCGAGGCUCAACUUCGGAAUUGCCUCUGAUACUGUUAGGCUAGAGAGUAGUUGCGGUAGGCGGAAUGUAUGGUGUAGCGGUGAAAUGCUUAGAGAUCAUACAGAACACCGAUUGCGAAGGCAGCUUACCAAGCUGCUUCUGACGUUGAGGCACGAAAGCGUGGGGAGCAAACAGGAUUAGAUACCCUAGUAGUC
rnacentral:rRNA from 1 species